ensembl:piRNA 21ur-7092 ncRNA
UUACACUCCGUUUUGAACGUA